rnacentral:misc_RNA from 1 species
GAUGAAGAACGCAGCGAAAUGCGAUAAGUAGUGUGAAUUGCAGAAUUCAGUGAAUCAUCGAAUCUUUGAACGCACAUUGCACCCUUUGGUAUUCCAAAGGGCAUGCCUGUUCGAGCGUCAUUUGUACCCUCAAGCUUUGCUUGGUGUUGGGCGUCUUGUCUCUAGCUUUGCUGGAGACUCGCCUUAAAGUAAUUGGCAGCCGGCCUACUGGUUUCGGAGCGCAGCACAAGUCGCACUCUCUAUCAGCAAAGGUCUAGCAUCCAUUAAGCCUUUUUUUCAACUUUUGACCUCGGAUCAGGUAGGGAUACCCGCUGAACUUAAGCAUAUCAAUAAGCGGAGGA